rnacentral:rRNA from 1 species
AGCAGCCGCGGUAAUUCCAGCUCCAAUAGCGUAUAUUUAAGUUGUUGCAGUUAAGAAGCUCGUAGUUGGACCUUGGGUUGGGUCGACCGGUCCGCCUCUGGUGUGCACCGGUCGGCUCGUCCCUUCUGCCGGCGAUACGCUCCCGGCCUUAACCGGCCGUGGCGGGGAACCAGGACUUUUACUGUGAAAAAAUUAGAGUGUUCAAAGCAGGCAAUCGCUUGGAUACAUUAGCAUGGAAUAAUGGAAUAGGACAAUGGUUCUAUUUGUUGGUUUCUAGGACCGUUGUAAUGAUUAAUAGGGAUAGUUGGGGGCAUUAGUAUUCAAUUGUCAGAGGUGAAAUUCUUGGAUUUAUUGAAGACUAACUACUGCGAAAGCAUUUGCCAAGGAUGUUUUCAUUAAUCAAGAACGAAAGUUAGGGGAUCGAAGACGAUCAGAUACCGUCGUAGUCUUAACCAUAAACUAUGCCGGCUAGGAGUCGGGCGAUGUUGAAAAAAUGACGC